UAUCUCUGCUCAAAUUGGUCAGAAUUGAAUGGGAAAACUGUUUUCAGGUGUUGAUGAUUAUAUUUUAUCAAAAAAUGUCACAUUUGACUACGCUGCGUUGGGUGUGAAAUUUAGCAUUUUUUACCUUAAGGGGGCAGUCUACAGUUUUUCUGGAAAAUUCCCAGGCCGACAAGCACUGGUCUGCAAAACACCCUCAAAACAAGGCCUUCAGUCACAACCUGAAAAUAUAAUCAGACCAUAUUCAUUGCGGCCCGUCAACAGCUUGAAAAUAAAGCUGUCAAAUGCCGGCAGUUUCAAGCAAAAAGUACAUGUGUUUACUUCUCACUCAGCAUGUUGUUGUUGUUGACUAAAAUUCAGGUCACUUAGUUUCGAAUUACUAAAAACAUGUGAAAUUACUAGAAUAUUGACCAUUUAUACUUACAUUUCAGCUCCUGGAGUCAAAAAACAAUUUCUUUUAGGCCAUACACCUUAAAUUCAGGAAAUUGACCGGGGCCAAUGCGCAGAUAAGGCUGAAAAACUGUAGACUGCCUCCUAACAUGUUUUCAUUGUACACUUUAAAUUAACGCAAGAGUGUACCAUCUACAAGAAAACAACACUGCGAUAAGAGCACACUGCCCCGAUUCGAACUUCAGCCAUUUUAGUAUCGAAGCAGCAGACGAACACCGUGGGAAAUUGGGUCAAUUUUACGCAUUUCUGUUCAUAGCGUAUUAUUUUGUCACGUGACUUUCAUUCAUAAAAUACCGGAUUAUUACGCUGGUGGAAAAUGUAUCGGCAUGUUUUGUUCAGCUACAGCGCGUGCUGUCAGUGUAUAAGCUCCGCCCAUAAGUUAUUGCAGAAUAACCCACGCUUGAUUUCCUUCUUUGUCUAUAGAAAACAAGUCACGUGCCGUGUUAGAAUUAACAAUAACAUUCUUUAUAGUAGAAUAAUAUAUUCAUUUAAACCAGGCGUACACGACCAGUACGAAAUUUCAAGUUAUUACAUGAGGCACGUGGUAUAUUUGACAAAAACAUUCUUUAUUGUAGAAUUAUAUAUUCAUUAAUACCAUGCAGGCGUACACGACCAGUACGAAAUUUCAAGUUAUUACACGAGGCAAAUGGUAUAUUUAACAAUAACAUUCUUUAUUGUAUAAUUAUUUAUUUAUAAAAAAACUCUGAUGUACAUCAUUGUUAGUUGGUUGCGCACUACAAGGGUCGUGUUUACAAAUGUGUAUAUCCUUCAGUUGGCCAACAUGCGGUAGGGGAUGUUAACUUCGAUAGUAAGUGAGGAUUUUCAUUGAUAAAGUGACAGGAGUGUUUUCAGUGUUCGGCCAUGCGUAGCGUGUACAGCAUUUUGAUACCCACACUAUGUUUGCAAUUAAGUGAAGGAUUAAAUACCUGUAACGUGUUUAACCAUGAUGCGCCGUGCAAAAGUAAGUACAUUUGUAUGAUUUACUCAUUAAUAGAGAGAGUUAGCAUAUGAUGUAUGGAUAUGACUUUUUGGGCUUUUUUCAUGAAUAUGUUAGGAUUCGUACAGACUCAAAAUAUGUAUUCAUAGAAUAAAAAAAGUAUAACUUAAAGGCUAUUUAUAGCCAUAGCGAGUAAUACGUUGUUUAUCUAUACAAUUUAUAUCAUUAAGCAGUAUUUUAUUAUUAGCACUUAAAAAAUUGUAUUAUGAAUUUCAUAAAUUGUGCCCAAUUUCGAAACAUACCAGGACUGUUCGCACACAUAAGAGUUAUAAAUUGGAUAACAUUUGAAUGUACCCAAUAUUUACGGGGGUUGUAUUUAGCUCUUUUUGCUUUAAAGAACGGGCAUAUUAGAAGAUCAUGCAACUCCACCGAUAUCAUUUUUGUUGCAGAGAAUACAUUUACAGUUUUCGUGAGGGAUAAACGGUUGAGCGAAACGACCGUUUUCUACUGGGAGUCGAUGAUUCCCGUUCGGAAGUGCAGCAUGCUAAGUCUUAAGGACUCAGUUAGAAAAUUUUAUAUCACAAGCCUGCUCUCCAAAAUGAGUCGAAUGCAGCAGAAAAAUCAACAAAUGAAUAUCCCGCACGAAAUCCUGCCUGGUUUUCGUUGAGAGCGAUUUCAUUUUCGUUUCUAGUUUCGAAGACUUGGACAUGUUCACAGUGAGUUUUAUAAGAGGAGCACGGUAUCUGGAGACAUCGGUCACAAAAUGCCACAUUUCCCGUGUGUCCCUAAACGAUGGAUGAUUGCUGGCAGAUAGUGCUUUGUCUUCGAUGCGAAUUGGGGUGACUUUGGAGACAUGCUGGACAUGGCUGGGUGAACCUUCAUGAAGUAACCCAGUUCUGAAUUUGUUACGCGCGUGGGCCUCUUCCCCUUGCUUGCAGGUGACGCGAUGCCCGGGUUAGUGUUUGCUGGUCGCUGGGCCUCCGGUAUGGUUUCAUGGUCUGAUCCAUCCGAUGUAUCAAUGUACUCUGGUUCCUGUAUGUGAUUGCCCGGCUCAAUGAAUGACUCUCUCAAUGCAUGGGGAAAUCCGGAUGAAGAUUGGUGGUGGCGCUGCUCUGUGCGCGCCUUGAUCACUGGCUCCUGUGUGAACUGAUGCGAGUCAACGCCUGCCUUUGCCGCUUGUGUGGGUAUGCACGCCGAUAAUUGCUGGAACCGCUGUUCCGUAACAUCGGUGUUUCUGGAACCACGGAGCAUGCUUUGCGAAUCUGAGAAAAUAUUUACUGUUGUCCCAUGGAUCACCAGCGCAGCAGGGAAAACCAGUUUGACGUUCUUAGCACCGUAUUUAUCUCGCGCCGCCUUGAACUCUGGCCAAAGUUGAUUGCGGACGUCGCUUAUUUCGCGGGGAAAGUCACGAGAGAUACCAAAAGAUUUUCGGCGUAACAGCUUUGCGUUUUACAUUUUGGCGUUCACGUCACGCAGGUCUGUGAAGGUAACAAGGAUGGCCCUUCAACGUGGGAGUCCUUGGGACCGGGCGACAUGGCGCCGGCCUUUCCGACGAUCCUCGGCAUUUCCUACACGUGCAGAGUCCAUAUUUAGUUUGUUGUUAAUGAAAUCAAUGAUGAUUUGGAGAGGGUCUUCGUUUCCACCGCUUUCAGACUCGGGAUGGCCGCUGAAAAUCAAGUUAGUUCGUAGAGAACGGGCUUCCAUGUCAAUGCUUUUAUACUCUAAAAGCUUAAGACGGGCCUCCGUAAUGUUGUGAAAUGGUUGUGAGCGGACAAACUUUUGGUUCAGACAUUCAAAUUUAUGAUUUAAUGAGUUAUUUGAAUAGAUCAUAUAAAACAGAAAUGUCAGUUUGUGCUUUAUGUUGAUUUCAGAGGCUUGUUCGCGUGUUGAUUUUACUGUUCCGUGUACGCUAAAGUCACCUUGGGAUGGGUGGGCUGAGCCCUUCGUAGACGAACUGCUAGUUGCACGACGUUUUCGUUUUGUUUCUCUAACUUGCAAAAUAGUUAAUAGAGCAUAUUUACCUAUGGACUGGCUUGCCAUGGCGUUCUUUGUACCUCUUGUGUUUUAAUAAAGUUUGAAGAUGUUA